UACGGAGGGGGCUAGCGUUGUUCGGAAUUACUGGGCGUAAAGCGCACGUAGGCGGCUUUGUAAGUUAGAGGUGAAAGCCCGGGGCUCAACUCCGGAAUUGCCUUUAAGACUGCAUCGCUAGAAUUGUGGAGAGGUAAGUGGAAUUCCGAGUGUAGAGGUGAAAUUCGUAGAUAUUCGGAAGAACACCAGUGGCGAAGGCGACUUACUGGACACAUAUUGACGCUGAGGUGCGAAAGCGUGGGGAGCAAACAGGAUUAGAUACCCGGUAGUCC
rnacentral:rRNA from 1 species